GAUGAACGCUGGCGGCGUGCCUAAUACAUGCAAGUCGAGCGAACGGACGAGAAGCUUGCUUCUCUGAUGUUAGCGGCGGACGGGUGAGUAACACGUGGAUAACCUACCUAUAAGACUGGGAUAACUUCGGGAAACCGGAGCUAAUACCGGAUAAUAUUUUGAACCGCAUGGUUCAAAAGUGAAAGACGGUCUUGCUGUCACUUAUAGAUGGAUCCGCGCUGCAUUAGCUAGUUGGUAAGGUAACGGCUUACCAAGGCAACGAUGCAUAGCCGACCUGAGAGGGUGAUAGGCCACACUGGAACUGAGACACGGUCCAGACUCCUACGGGAGGCAGCAGUAGGGAAUCUUCCGCAAUGGGCGAAAGCCUGACGGAGCAACGCCGCGUGAGUGAUGAAGGUCUUCGGAUCGUAAAACUCUGUUAUUAGGGAAGAACAUAUGUGUAAGUAACUGUGCACAUCUUGACGGUAACUAAUCAGAAAGCCACGGCUAACUACGUG
rnacentral:rRNA from 1 species